GGUCUCUACAAAACCGUGCUUUACUGAAGUAAAACCUUUUCUUGGCAGAUCAAUUUCAUUUCUCAAAUAUGGGAGAGUUAGCGGCGGAGAAGCAUGCCAAUUACAUUGUAUCAGUGGAAAAGAAAAAAGGGUCAUUUGAAUCUGUGGUGAUUGAGCAUUUGAGAAUGAAUGGAGCAUAUUGGGGGCUCACCACUCUUGACUUAUUGGGAAAGCUUCAUGUUGUGGAUGUUGAUCAAAUUAUUUCAUGGCUCAUAAGUUGUCAACAUGAGUCAGGUUUGUAAAAAGAUGUUUUUGAAGAUUUUUUUUUUU